rnacentral:lncRNA from 1 species
AUGUCACCAAAGUCAUACAAUAAGGAAAUGAGGAUACUAGGAUUCGUUCUCGGAAGAUUUCCCAGCUCCCAAUUACUCAUAUUAUUCCUGAGAACAAUGACCAGGAAAAUUGAUGGGAGGAAAACAUUUAAUGAACACCCUGCUGUUGACAGCAGCUUCAGUACCUUACCUGUCACGGUUUCUCUAAAGCAGACUUUACAAAUCAGCACAGAUUAUUCUAAGUCAACAGCUACACAUAAGUUCACAAGACAAUGUCAGAUCUGUUUUUGGUCUUCUGCAACAUUUUCACUAGAAUCUGAUAUCAACAUAUUAUUCACAGAAACACACAACUUGAUGCCAUGGAGAUUCUCUUGUCAACAUCAUGUGCCUAGGAGGAUUUGAGAAAAUCAUUUUUAAUUAAAAGUGCCAAACAUUAGAAUCAACCUGAGAUACUCGAAAUACUAAAGAGAAUUAACCAGAUAGGAUGACUGGCCUAAAUUUCACCGUUAAUAAAAGGAGUAAAAUCAUUGACUUCACCUUUGUGCUCAGAUACAGGUUUAAUUCCUACUAAACAUAAUGAAAACACUGCCUGCAAACUCCAUAACCAAACUUACUAAAAAAAAUGUGGCAUUGUCAUUUGAAACACACUGUAUUUAAAAAAUGACUCCAAUAUAGUUUAUGUAGAUCUGGACACACUAGGAGGUAAAGAAGUUUCAGCAAAGUCUAGGAGUGGACAAGAGUGGUGCUAUCGUCUCCCAUGGUAAGCACUACAAAAGUAUUUAGUAUAUAAAUAAAGUGGAGAUAGAGUUUUCUUAGCAGACAUAUCCUGGGUUCACUUUUACAUUAAGAAUGAUCAACUGAUGUGGUUACUAUUUCUCAGAUGGGAAAGGAAUCCAAACUCUACAUACAUACAUAUGUUCAGUUGCUCAGUCAUGUCCUACUCUUUGCGACCCCCUAGACUGUAGCCUGCCAGGCUCCUCUGUCCAUGGAAUCUUCCAGGAACAAUACUGGAGUGGGUUGCAAUUUCCUUCUCCAGGGGAUCUUCCCAAGCCAGGGAUUAAACCUGUAUCUCUUAUGUCUCCUGCACUGGCAAGUGAAUUCUUUACCACUGCGCCACCUAGGAACCCAAACUCUAUAUCUCCCUGUAUUAGUUAGCGAGGGCUGCCAUAACACAAGACAGGUGGAGGGGGGGAAAGAGGACAACAGAAAUUUAUUUGCUCAGUCCUGAUGUCUUGCUGUACGAAACCAAACGAUUGGUGGCUUUGGUUUCUUCUGAGGCCUCUCCCCUUGGCUUGCAGAUGGCGGCCUCCUCCCUGGGUCUUCACAUUGUUUUGUUCUCAGUGUGUGUGAGCUGGAAUCAAAAUUGCUGGGAGAAAUAUCAAAACCUCAGAUAUGCAGAUGACACCACCCUU